rnacentral:rRNA from 1 species
UACGUAGGGUGCGAGCGUUAAUCGGAAUUACUGGGCGUAAAGCGUGCGCAGGCGGUUAUAUAAGACAGAUGUGAAAUCCCCGGGCUCAACCUGGGAACUGCAUUUGUGACUGCAAGGCUAGAGUACGGUAGAGGGGGAUGGAAUUCCGCGUGUAGCAGUGAAAUGCGUAGAUAUGCGGAGGAACACCGAUGGCGAAGGCAAUCCCCUGGACCUGUACUGACGCUCAUGCACGAAAGCGUGGGGAGCAAACAGG